rnacentral:rRNA from 1 species
UUUUGGACAAUGGGCGCAAGCCUGAUCCAGCCAUUCCGCGUGAGUGAAGAAGGCCUUCGGGUUGUAAAGCUCUUUCGCAAGGGAACCCAACCCACUUUCUAAUAAAGAGUGAGGUUGACGGUACCUUGAUAAGAAGCACCGGCUAACUACGUGCCAGCAGCCGCGGUAAUACGUAGGGUGCGAGCGUUAAUCGGAAUUACUGGGCGUAAAGCGUGCGCAGGCGGCUUUGUAAGUCAGAUGUGAAAUCCCCGAGCUCAACUUGGGAACUGCGUUUGAAACUACAAGGCUAGAAUAUGUCAGAGGGGGGUAGAAUUCCACGUGUAGCAGUGAAAUGCGUAGAGAUGUGGAGGAAUACCAAUGGCGAAGGCAGCCCCCUGGGAUAAUAUUGACGCUCAUGCACGAAA